GCCCUCGUAGCCCAAUCGGCAGAGGCCCGGCGUUGAGGACGCCGGCAGUGCGCGUUCGAAUCGCGCCGAGGGCACCG
rnacentral:tRNA from 2 species